UACGUAGGUGGCAAGCGUUGUCCGGAUUUAUUGGGUUUAAAGGGUGCGUAGGCGGCUUUGUAAGUCAGUGGUGAAAUAUGGCAGCUCAACUGUCAAGGUGCCAUUGAUACUGCGGAGCUUGAGUACAGAUGAGGUAGGCGGAAUUGACGGUGUAGCGGUGAAAUGCUUAGAUAUCGUCAAGAACACCUAUAGCGAAGGCAGCCUACUAGGCUGUAACUGACGCUGAGGCACGAAAGUGUGGGGAUCAAACAGG
rnacentral:rRNA from 1 species